UUUACAGGAACUGAAAAGCGCACUUCAGUCCCUAAUCCAAAGAUGGGGGUAGGGAAAGAAGUGACUAUCAUGUCUUAAAGAAAAGUUUCUUAAUAUGGGGAAAACAUGUAUUUUUUUUCUUGCUUCCUUCUCAGAGGAGAAUUUCUUGGCUUAAUUUUCCCCCAAAAUGAGCUUUUUGCAGUUAGUUGACAGUUGGAAAAAAAACAGCCCAUCUUUCUUAGUUCUGAAAAGUUCUAUAAGCAAACAAAAAUGGGGCAUUCUAAUAGAAGACAUUUCAUUAUCACAAUUAUGAGAUUACCAAAUCUGCUAUAAACUAAUAGACUUGCAAACAUUUAAAUAAAUGUUCUCCUUUUCAGAAUAUUUCAUUUGUAUUGUAUGGUACAUUUUUAAUGUAAACUUAGUACAUUUUUUUUUUUAAUGAGCAUAACAAUGGUAUACUAUAAUUUGUAAGUUUGGGGGUAGAGAUGGCUUCAGCUAUCUAUGAAGCUAAACUUAAUUAGAAUAAAUGUAAAGGCUUAAAUAGGUGGUUUCAGUAAAUUUCAUCUAAAAAAGAACAGAUUUUUUUUAAAUGUCAUCUGUCUUAAUUAGGUAUUUGUAUAAAAUGUGUUUUGUCUUGGAUGUUAUUUUUUGGGAAAAUAGUUGUUUUGUAGCAAAGAGUAGCUUUUUGUGCAGAAAUAAUUGCUAUUUGGACAGACAGAAGGGAAUGUAUAGGCAGGAAGUGUUGCAGUUGUCAUUAGUAAUGCUCUAAGGAAAUGUUCAUGGGAUACUAAUUCAACUCCUAAAUAUAGCUGUGUUGUCUAGCAGUGCUACUGUAAAAGAAGCUGGAACUUUCAACAGGUUUUUAAAUGGUUAUAUUUAUAGCUAAAUCAAGUCUAUGGAAAGUUUUUAAUGAAAACCAGAAAUAUCCCUCUCUUGCAAAAAGCAAUGUCAAAGUUUUAUAGUCUUCUUUUUUUCAGUUAUAGUUAGCUAGCUGCUGCUUUGUCAGUGAAUGGACAUAUGUUACUCCAAAAAGUAAUACUGGAGUACUCAUGCCAUUCUUCUGUUGUAACCUUGUACCAAGUCAUUAAUAACAUUCCACAUAAAUGAUAAUUAAACUUUUCACACUGUUUUGGGGCCUUAAUAUGUUUAGAACAAAUAAAUAUUAGAUUAACAAUAAAUAGACUUGAAUAGAAUGAGUAUUUUGUAAUACUUUAAUUUCUUCAGCAAUGUCUUAUUUUGUUUUUAAUGCACAUAUAGUAUCUAAAACCCUGGGACCAAAAACUGCUUUCAUAUCUGCAUGUUAAUUCUAGUAGAAACCACUUUUUCAGUAAUUCAGCCAGUGAUGUCAUUAGUUUGUAUAUAAAUUUGCCUUGCUUGGAAGAAUUAGUUAAGAUGGUCACUAUUGUGACAGAAAAGUUGCCUACUACAUGGCUUUAUCAGAGGUGGUAGUUAAAGAAAAAUUUGAUUCACUUCAAAUCAAUGAUAUGUGUGGGGUUUUCUGUAAAAUUUGUCUCUGCUUAUAAUUGCUAAUUGAAUCUCUGUUUACUACACACUUUCUAGAAACUUUUAUUCAUGAUAGUUUCUUAAGUAGAGGUGAACAGGAAAUAUAUUUUUAGGUUAGCAAGGGAAAUGUACAUUCUAAGAAGUUCAAUAUCUCUGUCUUCCAAAAUAAACUCCUGUCUCAGAGUAGGACUAAUUCCUGCUUUGGAUUCAUUACCAUUUCUCUCAAAAUUAUGGUUGGAAAUGGAGGGAAAAUAUAAUUUUGUAAAUAGGACACUUAGGGUCUUUUUAGUAAUGCAGUGUUUAAAUGAACUACUUGGCUGAUGGUGGACGCUUGCUCAAAGAUCAGUACUCACAAACCUUCAUUUUUCCUGGUUCUUGAAUAAAUGUAAAAUCAAUAAGGGGGAAAAAAAAAAAGAGAGAGUAUUACCAAAAUAAGGUUGAUGUCUCUUUGGGAAAUGGGAUGAGGUUGCAAUUAGAGGGAUGUUGAGAUUCUCUGUGUAUCAUGCUGUAAUUUGCCCUUUUUUAUUUCUUCCACUUUUGCUGUUAUGUUUGAGUUCAAGCUAUUAAGAAAGAGUUUCAUGUUUAGUGGAGUACGUACCAUAGCACUAUCUGUCUGCCAGAUGUGUUGAAUACCAAGGCAAGUGGAAGAGAUGAGCACUGAGGAAUUUACUUUUGCAUCUUCUUAAAAGUAUAUGUUUUAUUAUAACUUCAUUCUUACUUUUUUCUCAUUUAUCAUGCAGGGAAACGUGUUAUGUAAGUGUGCUGAGAGGCAGGAUGCACAUGUUCUGUAAGGAGUUUUCUAUGCCAUUGACAUUUAUUUUAUGCUUAAUUUGCAACUCCAUAUUGAAAUAACUGGUGGAAAAUAUUUCUUCUGUCAAAGGUAGUGUAGGUCUCAUUUUUGUCUGUUUUAGGAUGCAUGUUCAUUUACAUAUGUAAAUAUCAAAGCAAUAAUAAUGUGAAAUCAUUUUUAUAAGUAAUCCUAUAAUAAAGAUUUUAAAUAAAUUGUUAAAUAACUGAAAUGGAAUAAUUUUCACGUUAAACUAAAUCAUUUCACAUAUUAAAUAUAAUGGUUGAACAAAUCUGAAGAAGCUCAUAGCUUGUAUUUCAACUGGAAAAUCUUUUUUUAGUAGCUUUAAUGACUACCAGUGAUGUGUUUUGGACUUGGACAAAGAUAAAUAUUUAUUGCAGGUGGAAUUCCUGCAUGUUUUGUAUGUUAUUACAAGCUCGUAUAGGUAACAAAUGCUGUCUCACAGUAAGAAAGUUUUUAAGAA